AUUGAACGCUGGCGGCAGGCCUAACACAUGCAAGUCGAGCGGAUGAAGGGAGCUUGCUCCUGGAUUCAGCGGCGGACGGGUGAGUAAUGCCUAGGAAUCUGCCUGGUAGUGGGGGAUAACGUCCGGAAACGGGCGCUAAUACCGCAUACGUCCUGAGGGAGAAAGUGGGGGGUCUUCGGACCUCACGCUAUCAGAUGAGCCUAGGUCGGAUUAGCUAGUUGGUGGGGUAAAGGCCUACCAAGGCGACGAUCCGUAACUGGUCUGAGAGGAUGAUCAGUCACACUGGAACUGAGACACGGUCCAGACUCCUACGGGAGGCAGCAGUGGGGACUAUUGGACAAUGGGCGAAAGCCUGAUCCAGCCAUGCCGCGUGUGUGAAGAAGGUCUUCGGAUUGUAAAGCACUUUAAGUUGGGAGGAAGGGCAGUAAGUUAAUACCUUGCUGUUUUGACGGUACCAACAGAAUAAGCACCGGCUAACUUCGUG
rnacentral:rRNA from 1 species